rnacentral:rRNA from 1 species
UGACAAUGGGUUAAUCCCAAAAAACUGUCUCAGUUCGGAUUGGGGUCUGCAACUCGACCCCAUGAAGUCGGAAUCGCUAGUAAUCGCGUAACAGCAUGACGCGGUGAAUACGUUCCCGGGCCUUGUACACACCGCCCGUCACACCAUGGGAGUUGGUUCUACCCGACGACGCUGCGCUAACCUUCGGGAGGCAAGCGGCCACGGUAGGAUCAGCGACUGGGGUGAAGUCGUAACAAGGUAGCCGA